GAUGAACGCUGGCGGCGUGCCUAAUACAUGCAAGUCGAGCGAACAGACGAGGAGCUUGCUCCUCUGACGUUAGCGGCGGACGGGUGAGUAACACGUGGAUAACCUACCUAUAAGACUGGGAUAACUUCGGGAAACCGGAGCUAAUACUGGAUAAUAUAUUGAACCGCAUGGUUCAAUAGUGAAUGACGGUUUUGCUGUCACUUAUAGAUGGAUCCGCGCCGCAUUAGCUAGUUGGUAAGGUAACGGCUUACCAAGGCAACGAUGCGUAGCCGACCUGAGAGGGUGAUCGGCCACACUGGAACUGAGACACGGUCCAGACUCCUACGGGAGGCAGCAGUAGGGAAUCUUCCGCAAUGGGCGAAAGCCUGACGGAGCAACGCCGCGUGGGUGAUGAAGGUCUUCGGAUCGUAAAACUCUGUUAUUGGGGAAGAACAAAUGUGUAAGUAACUAUGCACGUCUUGACGGUACCUAAUCAGAAAGCCACGGCUAACUACGUG
rnacentral:rRNA from 1 species